CUUCACAGAAUUGGAAGCAGUCCUUGUAAUCCCUUGGCCAUUGCAGCACAGCAAUCCCAUGCCUGCAUGCAGGGUGGGAGAUCAGUUGGAUGAGCGAACUGCACAGACAUAACUUGAGAAUGCACCAGAAAUGCUGUUGGCAAAAGAGGGAAGACUGCUCCAAGAGAUGCGCUGGCCACAGAGCCUGCUCAGGCCCAUUGCUGGAUAUCAGGGAGCUCCUCUGCCAGUCUGAUCAUGCUCUGCUAGCCCUCAUCCCUCCCCUGCUGUAUUUGGAAGGGGAAAAAGUUAGGAAGGCAAGGAGAAACCCCUCCAGAAAAAUGAAACAUUUCAUAGUGCCAAAGACUUUACCAAGCUGCAAAACUUUCAGUUCAUCUUCCUAGUGAAAAGGAUGGGAAAGGAGACCUUCUUCUCCUUUUUAUAAAGCCUUUAUUGAUCAGCCUGCUUGGGGGCCCAAGAGGUCACACUCCCAACACUGUUCCCUAUGGACAAGAAGAAGGAGAAAGUGCAAGCAGCUUUGCCAAAAAGCAGAGCUGGGGUGUCCAACCUCACAGGAGUCCUAUAGAAGACCUUUCUUAUUUUGGCUUGCUGCAAGUCCAGGGGGUGACUGUAAGAGGGUCCUGUCUCUGUCAUGUGACACAAUCAAAUGGCUUUGCAAGGUAGCUUGGUGUCCUGUCAGUCCUCCGGUGUGGUCCUGUGAGUUGUCGUAUGAUGGCUCGCUGGCUCUAGGGGUCCACAUGUGGUGGUCUCACUUGCUGUUGUGGCUCAGACUCCUGGGAGUUGGCAUGGUUAGCAUACCGGGUGGAGCCAUUUGUUGCCAUGUGGAAGUAUAGGGGAGCAGUGGAGGCAGGGUCUGGCUGAACUAGGAACAAGGAGCACAGGGUACAGCAGCUUGGGACAGGGGCACAAGAUUCUCUAUGUGUGGAUGAAGGAGAUACGCAUUCCCUGAAUUAGUACCUUUCCAUGGAGGUGACAUGAUGGACUAUGGACAUUCAACCUGCUGCAAACAGGAAAGGAAAGAGUUUAAAGCACAGGGGAGAUAAUAGAUGGGAACGGCUUCUUCUACCAAGGCCAGGCUUCACCAGCACAAGGACACAGUGCCAGGUGAAGGAAGGAGAGCAGGACUGUGACCUGGAGGCACAGUGGAGUCCCUGGCCCAGGGCACGUGCUUGUCCCCAUCCUCAAUGAGCAAGAAGUGGAUCAGCACAGAAGGAAGGAUGGAGGAUGCACUGAGAGCCUAAUGAGGCCACAGUACUCCCUGCCACACAAUGCUUCUGAAACCCAAGAACCAAAGUGUAAUUUCUGUGGAUAAUGAUACCUAGGGUCACUACAGCCAGGAGUAAGGAGCAUUUGGAAGGCAGAUACAGUGUCACGUACGAGGGUUAAACCCUAAGCUGCUGGAGUUCAGGAAAAGGAGGAAAGAUUGCUCUGCAUCUGUCUGAACUGCUCCUCACAUUGCCCUCGGCAGCCAGUGCGACACAGGCUGGACACAUUGGAGUCAGACGCUUUUCUAAACUACUCCAUAUUCUCCAUUUCCACAGAAUGGUUUGGGUUGGGAGUGACCUUAAAACCCUCUCAUUGAGUGCCCUGCCAUGGGCAGAGACACCUUCCCCUAGAACAUUCUUUGUCAGUCUUCAGCUAAAAACAAACUCUAAGACAUCUGCUUUUGCUAAAAAUGCCCUGUGAUCAUCAAUUUCCACACAAAUCAAGGUCUGAUGGCUUCAGCUGUUAUCUAGAAACAUAAAGGAGAUUAGGGAAAGGAUCUUAACUCUAUAUACAGUUAGUCUGUCUCCAGAGAAUGAUUCUGCAGGAGACAGGAUAAAUUGUGUCAUUCUCCACACUGGCCACAGAUGGAAGGAGAUGAUCAGCUCAGACUUAACAACAAACUUUAAGAUGGUCCAAGUCAGAUAGGAUGAAGCCCAUUCAAAGGAAGAAAUGUUUCAAGCUGCUGUUGUGUAGCGUUGGCCAACAGACUGUCAAAAUGAAAAUUAAUUUAAUUAAUCAAAAUGAGAAUUAAAAUAUCUGCUUUAAUUUUAAAAAGUAAAAGUGGAAAAAAAGUUCAUUUCCUCACCU